rnacentral:rRNA from 1 species
UGCCAGCAGCCGCGGUAAGACGGAGGGGGCUAGCGUUGUUCGGAUUUACUGGGCGUAAAGAGCACGUAGGCGGAUUAGUAAGUUGGAAGUGAAAGCCCGAGGCUUAACCUCGGAACUGCUUUCAAAACUGCUAGUCUUGAGUGUAGUAGGGGAUGAUGGAAUUCCUAGUGUAGAGGUGAAAUUCUUAGAUAUUAGGAGGAACACCGGUGGCGAAGGCGGUCAUCUGGGCUACAACUGACGCUGAGGUGCGAAAGCGUGGGGAGCAAACAGGAUUAGAUA